GGGGGUGAUACGGGCUCGACAGAAAGGUGAAACAACUUUCUGUGCAAGCAGUGGUUAGCCGAAGGGCCACUAUAAAAAUCGGCUGAUACAUAAGUGCAAACACCUAUGCAUAUGCUGCAUAAUUAAAGCAGCUAUAUCCUGAUGAGACGCCUGUAUCAUCAGGAUGAAGGACACAGGCUCUUCCUGUAAAGUUUGCCCUUGGGCUUUACAGGAGAACUCACACAAGGGAUAGGUAUUAGUGGCUGAGUAGGGCCUAACUAAUACCGAAUCUUCCACAAUUUGUGGAAGAAUACCUACUUCCGCGUGCCUCACCGCGUUAUGUGAGGCUAAGCUUGUAGAGCAGAAGUUGUUUCCUUUCUGGACGCGGGUUCGAUUCCCGCCACCUCCAUUU
rnacentral:tmRNA from 1 species